CCACCUCCUGCAGUAGGAAGUUCCCGUUCAAGGCCUCCUAAAUAUAGUCAUAGAACUCGUGUGUGGACCGGUCACCUGGCCCGCUGCGUCACCAGCAACUCCUGGCUCGGCGAGAUCUAGAGGAGCCAAAGAAGGAGCAGAUCUGUGAAAUGUUGGGAUAACAGUAUGUUCAGAGGAUUAGUGAAGACCAGCAAUGCUGUAGUCUGGUGGAACAGGAAGUGGCAGAAAGUCAAGGAACGUUCCUCUCCGGUUCUCUAAGCUGAGCAGCAGCCUCUCGGAAUCGCGGCGAGUGAUUUUGCCAAAGUACCACCUGGAGAGGAAGAAAAAAACACCAAACAUAUAAGAACAUGCUAAUGCCUCCAGAGCAGCAGCUGCUUACCUGGAGUCUAGAGUCAGUUUGAGAUCACUGGAGGAGCAGGAGGCAGAGAGUGAGAAAUAAAGUUGUUACAAAAGGUCAGCUUGUGAGGUUUACUGUAAGCAAGCAGGUCAGCAUGAGCAUGCAGUAAAUGUUACACAGAGGGAACACAUGUUUGCCUUUUUGGAAAAGUAUUUGGAAACAAUUAG